GUGAGAGAUCUCUAAAGAUUCACCCAAUCCCAUUGUUCUAAGGUAAUAAAUCCUAUAAUUGCUGUAUCCUCAGAACCCAGCACGGGGCACUGCAUACGGUAGAUCUGCUUAACCAUGUACCAAAUGCAUCCGCCUCUUCCCCAACAUCCAUUACUACUGGAACCCACCAAGAACUGAAUUCCAUGGUACUUCUCAGGAUUCUUGAGGUCUGGACUAAGCCCUGGAUUGGGAAAGACGUGUUUAUGAUGCAGACCAGUUGGGGAGAUUUUUCUUGAAGGAGCAGCAGCUUGGGAAUAGCUGACCUGGUGAGAGCAUUCCUCUUCAUCUUGGCUCUGUCUGCUGUAGUUGGGGCACCUGUCAUUCUGGAUAAGGAUAGCAUGUUCAUAAAAGGGAAAUGAGUGGAGAAGGAGGGAAGGAGUUGUGAGCAAAGCAUUUAAAGCGUUGCCAGAAUAUAAGCAACAGUGCUUCAUGUCGUGAAAAACUGAGAAAAGGAGUCUUUAUGUACAGGAAGAACUCAGCAGCUGACCUCAAGAAGAAAGGAAAACAUCCUCUCUUCACUUUUCUCUGGGAUGCCUGUGCCCAGGGUCUUGAGUUUCCGACUGGGGCAUAAUGGAUUUUUGGUGGCCUGUGACUUUAUUAUGGGUCUUUUCCCAAAGUGUUUUGAAAUGGUAUGAAAGAGUGUAUUCAGUUAGAAACCUUGAGUUCUACUCCCAGGCUACUUAGAGGUUGUUUUGCAAACUUGAACAAGUCAAGUAAACCUGACUUCAACUCUACGCAAUGGAUUAUGCAAUGGUUGAAGUUCUAAGCUUGGAAGUUUCCAAUGAGAACAAAUAGGGGUGGUGAGAGCUGCCCUGCCCCUUUCAGGGACAUUAAGAGGGUCACCAGGCAGGUGAAUGUGACAGUGCCCUAAAGUUAUGAAGAAAUCUGUGCAAAACUGUAUGUUGUUAUAGUUCUUCUUGGGGCUGAUGCACCGUGACCCCUUCAACAGUUGAUGAAUCAUGGGAUAAUUGUUGAUGAGUCAUGGGAUAGGUGCUGCUUCAAGGGAUGUGGAUGUAGGUUGGACAGAGGCCGACCCCAACUCUCUACUCAUUUGCACUGUGCAUGGCAAAUUUGUUCUGGGAGUUUCUGCUUUGCUCCUGUCUUAAGCCAUCAGACCACGUGUUCAGUAGUCCAGCCCUGGCCACAGCCUCUCUGCCUGGCUGGGCCCAGGCUACUUCUAAACUCUCUGUUUUUUUUAUUUUAUUUUAUUUUUAUUUUUUUUUAUUUCAGAUUUUAUCCAACAUGGAUGUCUUGAUCCAAGAGAAAAAAAGGGAUCCCUUCAAAGUCCUUUCCCCAGUUUCCUGCUUAGUCCCACUCCUAGAGCCCUAGGGGGUUCUGUAGCUCCUCUAUAUUUUCAGGGAACUGAGCUGAAGCCAAUACGAGAUUUUAAAAGAUACCCUAUCCUUAAGCAAAGUGCAGAUCCUGAGACUCAGAGAGGUUAAGAAACUCGCCCAACGCCACACAGCUAGAUAAACACCUCAGGAUUUAAAUAGAUUGCAGGGGACACCAACAAGGCUCUGCUCAGAUCCCCUCAGAUCCCUCUGGCCCAUCUGUGCAUGCAGUAACAUCUGCUUCACCGUUGACUGCUUGAACCUGUGGAUCCACUUCACCUAAGAGCACAGAGAGCUGAAAGGGCCUGGAAUCCUGUUGCCUCCCGGGCAGCCUGCAGCCAAUGAGUAACUGGUGCUGGAAAACAGAAGGCUGCUCCCUUGCUGGAGUGAACAUGCAUUAUUUGUGUAAUAAACAGAAACAAAAAUCUCGUUGUUUAAAGCCAUCCAUGAAGACCAUGUGAGAGGGUGGAAAAGGGAGGCUGGAUUCUACUAAUUGGAUUGGAGGAAGAUGUAGCAAGGAAGAAGAAAUGGGCCCUUGGCAUGUGGCAGGGAGGGGACCUACUUAAUCAAACUCAAUGAUAACAGGAGUAACGGUGAUUAAACUUCUUUGAUUCAAC
rnacentral:lncRNA from 10 species